GGUAGCGUGGCCGAGUGGUUUAAGGCGCUGGAUUUAGGCUCCAGUCAUUUCGAUGGCGUGGGUUGGAAUCCCACCGCUGCCA
rnacentral:tRNA from 2 species